AGGCGUGGUGACGAUGGGAUGGGUAAUGUUUCAGCAACAGGUGUCUUUUAUUUAGAUCGGCAUUCAGGUUUGAAAAUUGCAAGUAGCAAAAAGUGCGUGUUUUUACUUAAUAACACAUAAAAAUACAUUGAAGUAGUACGGAGAAUGUAUUGAUGCAUUACAGAAUACCGUUUGCUGUUGACGCAGCUUUGCCCUAAAUUAUGGAAUGUGACUCGUGCUGCCAUUGUAUGGAGGUGCCCAUCACUGCAAGGGACUGCCCUCAACAAUAUAAAGGUGGGCGUUCCUUGAGGUUCAUUCUGAACAUGCUGAUGGUGUGACUCUGGAGACUACAGUACUUCCAGACUGCAGAUGACAUCUGCUUCAACUAAUUGGCCCCAGCAUUACCUCACUGUCCCAGUGCCAUAAAGGUAUGUUGGUGAGGAGAAGAUUGUCAGACCUCCCUAUGACUGAGGUAGAAGAUAAAAAUAAGUGUAAAUGAUAUACUAAUGCAUUUGAAAAAAAACUGCAAUGAACUUUUUUGUGACCAUGUGUUUUUAUUUAUUUAUGAUGUUUGCUGAUGACAUUGUGAUCUGUAGCGAUAGUAGGGAGCAGGUUGAGGAGACCCUGGAGAGGUGGAGAUAUGCUCUAGAGAGGAGAGGAAUGAAGGUCAGUAGGAACAAGACAGAAUACAUGUGUGUAAAUGAGAGGGAGCUAAGUGGAAUGGUGAGGAUGCAAGGAGUACAGUUGGCGAAGGUGGAUGAGUUUAAAUACUUGGGAUCAACAGUACAGAGUAAUGGGGAUUGUGGAAGAGAGGUGAAAAAGAGACUGCAGGCAGGGUGGAAUGGGUGUAGAAGAGUGUCAGGAGUGAUUUGUGACAGACUGAUAUCAGCAAGAGUGAAAGGGAAGGUCUACAGGACGUUAGUGAGACCAGCUAUGUUAUAUGGGUUGGAGACAGUGGCACUGACCAGAAAGUAGGAGACAGAGCUGGAGGUAGCAGAGUUAAAGAUGCUAAGAUUUGCACUGGGUGUGACGAGGAUGGACAGGAUUAGAAAUGAGUACAUUAGAGGGUCAGCUCAGGUUAGACAGUUGGGAGACAAAGUCAGAGACGCGAGAUUGCGUUGGUUUGGACAUGUGCAGAGGAGAGAUGCUCAAUAUAUUGGGAGAAGGAUGCUAAGGAUAGAACUGUCAGGGAAAAGGAAAAGAGGAAGAGUAGGUUUAUGGAUGUGGUGAACGAGGACAUGCAGGUGAUGGGUGUAACAGAGCAAGGUGCAGAGGACAGAAAGAUAUGGAAGAAGAUGAUCCACUGUGGCGUCCCCUAACGGGAGCAGCCGAAAGAAGAAGAUGCACAGUAUUUACUGUGUCGUGAACAGGAGUCAGGACCAUAACAAAAAGGGGUUGAGGCCUCCAAAAAGACCACAAAAGCAGGCCAAGAUGUUCACUCACCUAUCAAAAACAGCUUUACUCCAAACUAACCAGUCCCCUACUACUAUAAUAUCUGCAGGCUUCAGCCUAAACAGGCCCAAAAAUAGUGAAACUGGCUUUUAAGUUCAAAAAUAGUAAAUAGAGUGUGAUCUCAAAACUAUCUUACAGGGGAGAGAAACUGUAAAAACUUUGGCUUAUAAAGAUAUAUAGAGGAAAGAAUCUUUAUGAAUAAAGAUAUUGUAUGACAAGAACCGGCAUCCCGUCCAGAAAGGAGGAUGGUUUAUUAGGCUAGAGUGGAAUGAUGAACAGGUUGGCCGCCGGGAGGGGAAAAUUACUUUGUGCUCAGCUAGUGUAAAGCAAUGGACAGACCAGUUGGAGCCAAGAGCUGGGAGCUGUUCCAUCCCCUACACAACAGGUGGUUGUGGUCCUCGUAUGGUAGUCCAGUCGGGAUACCCGCAGGGGUACUUGAGAGGAAGUAGAAAGAACCCUGUUGGGGUCCCUAGGUACCGAUAGAGGGCACUGUCAGGGAGGACCUUCCUGCUUUCUGCAUAGCCCAGAAGUGCUUCCAGGAAGAUGCCGCAUGGCACCGAAAGCAUUCCCGGGUUCAUCAUAAAAAGGAUCCCACUUGCCUCACAUCAAUGAGUCAGGGUCGGGAGGCAGCAGGCAACACUCAACAGGAGGAAGAAAGGAGGGAGAAUUGGUGCAUUUAUUGUGAUUGUGCAAUUGGUCCUGAAAAAGUGAUUUGGA